UAACAGUCCACAAUCUUGCCGUGGCUGUGG
rnacentral:piRNA from 1 species